rnacentral:lncRNA from 1 species
ACAAUCAUGCUUGCCAGUGUUUACAGCCAAUCAGUAGGAAGUGGCUUCUGCCUCCAUUCUGACUUCCAAAUCUCUUGCAAAUGCAUAUAAUUGGUUGAACCUAAUUCACAGUUAGAACCCCAGCUGCAAGUGAGACUGGAAAAAUGGCUCUCAGAGUUCCCGCCUCUGCAGUAGAGGAAGACACUCCAGAAGGAGUUGAGAAUGGGUGCUGAGUGCCUCUUCAGGAUGUCUGUCACACCUCAGGAAACCUGCCAGGAAUACCAAAGGGAGUGAAAAAUCCAAGGUUGGGAAGCCCUGGGACAUUGAAGUUACAACUGGACGAUAAAAACAGAGUUUUUUCCUUGUGACGUGACCACUGUGAUGUAAAGCUGUAUCUCCUUCAUUUCAUCAAGAAAUUCUUAAAAUUCUCCCCCAACGUGCUUUCAUCUUUCCCUUCAUUGCCAACUCUGAAUACUUGUCAUUGAAAUUAGGGCCCACCUGGAUAAUCCAUGAUGAUCUCAUCUCAAGAUCCUUAACUUAAUGACAUCUGCAGAGACUGGUUUAUCAAAUAAGGGACUGUGGCUAUAUCGCUGACCUCAAGAAAACCUGCGGACAAAAUCUGCUAAAGAAGUAUCAGCAUCUAUUUCAAAAGUUAGCCAUUAUUUUAAGAAGACUGUGCUGGAAGACGGGUAUUUAACACAAACAGAUGCAAAAGAUACGGGGUUUCACCGUGUUGACCAGACUGAUUUUGAACUUCUGGGCUCAAUCAGUCCACCUGCCUCGGCCUCCCAAAGUGCUGAGAUUAUAGGUGUGAGCCCCUGCGCCUGGCCAGGGAUGCCGUUCUUCACUCUCCAAUUGAGCAGCCAUUAUAUAUCAGGCACUAUAGGAGUUCCUGGAGGAUACUGGUCUGAAGUUAGCAUGAUCUUGACUCAAGAAACUUAUAGUCCUGAUAAGAACUUCCACCAGAAUUCCAGAUAAGGCAGCACAGGCCUUGCUGUUUGCCCAUGCCCAUGCGGUCAGCUCUCUUGGGUACCGUGGCAUGCAGAUGCAGACACUCACCCAAGACACCCUGUAGUGCUGAUUACUGGCUGAAGACACUGAAUAUCUGAUAUAGUUUGGAUGUUUGACCCCUCCAAAUCUCAUGUUGAAACUAGAUUCCCAGUGUUGGAGGUGGGGCCCGGUGGGAGGUGUUUGGAUUGUGGGAUUGGAUCCCUUAUGGCCAUCUUGGUGCCAUCCUUGUGGUAAUGAGCAAGUUCUUUAUCUACUAGUUCCUGAGCGAUCUGGUUGCUAAAAAGAGUCUAGCAGCAUCAUCCGCUCCCUCUCCUCCUCUCUUACCAUGUGAUAUGCACACACCGGCUACCCUUCACCUACUGCUCCAGCACCACGCUUCAUGUACAGCCUGUAGAACUCUGAGCCAAAUAAACCUCUUUUCUUUAUAAAUUA